rnacentral:tRNA from 1 species
GCUCCGGUCGUUCAGUGGAUAGGACACAAUCCUGCGAAGAUUGUAACCCAGGUUCAACUCCUGGUCGGGGCA